GCCACGGUGCGACCGUUGUCGGUGCCGUAGGGAAGCCGUGAAGCGAGCCACCUGGGAAGUACGGCCGCAAGGCUGAAACUUAAAGGAAUUGGCGGGGGAGCACCACAACGGGUGGAGCUUGCGGUUUAAUUGGAUCAACGCCGGAAAUCUUACCGGGACCGACAGCAAUAUGAAGGCCAGGCUGAAGACUUUGCCGGAUUAGCUGAGAGGUGGUGCAUGGCCGUCGUCAGUUCGUACUGUGAAGCAUCCUGUUAAGUCAGGCAACGAGCGAGACCCACGCCCACAGUUGCCAGCGUACUCUCCGGAGUGACGGGUACACUGUGGGGACCGCCGCUGCUAAAGCGGAGGAAGGAAUGGGGCAACGGUAGGUCAGUAUGCCCCGAAUAUCCGGGCUACACGCGAGCUACAAUGGUUGGUACAAUGGGUAUCUACCCCCGAAAGGGGACGGAAAUCUCCUAAAACCAAUCUUAGUUCGGAUUGAGGGCUGCAACUCGCCCUCAUGAAGCUGGAAUCCGUAGUAAUCGCGUUUCAACAGAACGCGGUGAA
rnacentral:rRNA from 1 species